GAUAAAAAAGAAUUCAAACAAUCCUGCCUAAUGGUGAAUCUUUCUAUCAUUAUAAUUGAAGAUAAGUGGAGUGUGCUUAGUUUACUAACAAGUGGCGGGGCAUGUUUGCAAUAGCAUUGCAUCUGUUUGCUUAGUGAAAAAUCUUGUGUUGGUCAAUUAAAGAAUGGUUACUUUGGGUAUUUUGUGAAAGUAAAGAUUGAGGUUAAACUAAUUCCUUUUAAUUCCUUGAUUAGUCUUAAGACUUACUUAUUCUAUGGAGAAAGGGAGAAAUUGGAAAAAAUAGCUUGAUUAUUCCCUUAAUCUUGUGGGGGUAUAUAGCUUCAAUAAAAUCUGAGUUGGAAACUAUACAAUUGUCCUAAUCAAGGAAUCGCUUUAUUUUAGGGAUUUAAUCUCCUAAUUACAAUCACAAUAUGUAGGCCUUGUUUGGUUGGGGGCAGGUGAGCUAGGGAACUUAAAGUUCCCAGGAAAUACAAAAAAUUGACUUAUUUGGUUGGGAGUAAGUGUUCAUUUUCUGGGAAGUGAAAUGCCAUUUUUUCUCAAUUUUCUAGGAAGUAAGUUGCUUACCCUAAACUAGAUAACUUCUUAGGAAGCAAGUUCCCAGGAAGUGGUUCAUUUGAACCAAAUAAGGCCUUACUUUCCUAUUCUAACACUUCCCCUUAAGUUGGAGCAUGCAUGUUGUAUUCACGUAGCUUGUUACAAAUAUAGUUAAUCCUAGACCCCUAGAGUGAUUUAUUGAGAAUGUCUGCUAACUUAUCAUUUGAAUUGACAAAACUAGUAACAAUAUAUUCUGACUCAAUCUUUUGCCUAAUUAAGUUAUAAUUAAUUUCUAUGUGUUUAGUCCUUUCAUGAAACACAGAAAUUGAAGCAAUAUGUAAUGCCGUUUGGUUGUCGCAAAUAAAUUUCAUUUCUUUAUCACCUUCACAUUUUAACUCCUGAAGAAGUUGCUUUAACCAUAUAAGCUCACAGGUGGCCAAGGCCAUGGCUUGAUACUCUGUUUUUGUACUUUACUAGCCACUACAUCUUGUUUCUUACUU
rnacentral:misc_RNA from 1 species